rnacentral:tRNA from 1 species
GCCCUGUGGCUCAGUUGGUAGAGCAUGGUGUUUGCAACGCCAGCAUGGUGUGUGCAACGCCAGGGUUGUGGGUUUGAUUCCCACGGGGGGCC